ensembl:piRNA 21ur-5941 ncRNA
UUCGGGGCACGAACGGUUAAU